UAGGGAAUCUUCGGCAAUGGACGAAAGUCUGACCGAGCAACGCCGCGUGAGUGAAGAAGGUUUUCGGAUCGUAAAACUCUGUUGUUAGAGAAGAACAAGGACGUUAGUAACUGAACGUCCCCUGACGGUAUCUAACCAGAAAGCCACGGCUAACUACGUGCCAGCAGCCGCGGUAAUACGUAGGUGGCAAGCGUUGUCCGGAUUUAUUGGGCGUAAAGCGAGCGAAGGCGGUUUCUUAAGUCUGAUGUGAAAGCCCCCGGCUCAACCGGGGAGGGUCAUUGGAAACUGGGAGACUUGAGUGCAGAAGAGGAGAGUGGAAUUCCAUGUGUAGCGGUGAAAUGCGUAGAUAUAUGGAGGAACACCAGUGGCGAAGGCGGCUCUCUGGUCUGUAACUGACGCUGAGGCUCGAAAGCGUGGGGAGCAAACAGG
rnacentral:rRNA from 1 species